rnacentral:rRNA from 1 species
UACAGAGGUCUCAAGCGUUGUUCGGAUUCAUUGGGCGUAAAGGGUGCGUAGGCGGCGCGGUAAGUCGGGUGUGAAAUCUCGGAGCUUAACUCCGAAACUGCAUUCGAUACUGCCGUGCUUGAGGACUGGAGAGGAGACUGGAAUUUACGGUGUAGCGGUGAAAUGCGUAGAUAUCGUAAGGAAGACCAGUGGCGAAGGCGGGUCUCUGGACCGACAUUGACGCUGAGGCGCGAAAAGCCCAGGGGGAGCAAAACGGGG